AUUUAUCUUCGUGAGGGUAAAGAUAAAUUAAUAUUUGGUCCAGAAGUACCAUAUCUUAGUGAAGUAUAUGCUUUAUUGUAUUUGGCACAAUACAUUGAAUGAAAUAAAGCUUAUUUAUUACUAUAUCUCCAAGAAAUUACAGAUAUAUACAUACACAUGAGUUAAAACAAACAAACAGGAUGGAGCCUUCACAAAGGUUGCUCAUGUGAAGCCUCAGUACUCGGGAAGUACCCAAGAAGGAGGAGGCACUGGAGAUUGAUCAUGUGGCACCCCAGUACUUAGCAAAACACCAGAAGGGGAGGCACUGAAGGAUUCAAAUUGCUUGAAGUAAGCCUCUGAAGGGUAAAACAUAAAAAUAUGUACUCAAUACCAAUGAAUGAUGAUGAUAUAAAUUGCCUUAGUGAGUACUAUCAUUAUGAUAUUGUUGCAACAUACUAAAAUCUCUUGCAAGAGUCAAUGACAUUAAAUUAGAACUCUUGAAGAGUUGAUGAUAUUAAAUUGGGACUCCUGAAGAGUCUAGAAAAAUUAUAUAAAGUGUUGAAGGAAUUAUUGUCUCGAGCUGCAGAUCGAACAAUCUACCAACACGAAUCUUAUCCAUGAUAUUUAUGAUAUUAAAAGAACCAUAUGGAUUGAAGAUUAUGAGUUGAAUACUCAUAUGAUGAAGACACUAAGAAUAAUCAUUUAUCUUCGUGAGGAUAAAGAUAAAUUAAUAUUUGGUCCAGAAGUACCAUAUCUUAGUGAAGUAUAUGCUUUAUUGUAUUUGGCACAAUACAUUGAAUGAAAUAAAGCUUAUUUAUUAAUAUCUCCAAGAAAUUACAGAUAUAUACAUACACAUGAGUUAAAACAAACAAACAGGAUGGAGCCUUCACAAAGGUUGCUCAUGUGAAGCCUCAGUACUCGGAAGUACCCAAGAAGGAGGAGGCACUGGAGAUUGAUCAUGUGGCACCCCAGUACUUAGCAAAACACCAGAAGGGGAGGCACUGAAGGAUUCAAAUUGCUUGAAGUAAGCCUCUGAAGGGUAAAACAUAAAAUAUGUACUCAAUACCAAUGGAUGAUAUAAAUUGCCUUAGUG
rnacentral:lncRNA from 1 species